rnacentral:rRNA from 1 species
CCUACGGGCUGCAGCAGUGAGGAAUAUUGGUCAAUGGACGCGAGCCUGAACCAGCCAAGUAGCGUGGAGGAUGACUGCCCUACGGGUUGUAAACUUCUUUUAUAAAGGAAUAAAGUGAGGCACGUGUGCCUGUUUGUAUGUACUUUAUGAAUAAGGAUCGGCUAACUCCGUGCCAGCAGCCGCGGUAAUACGGAGGAUCCGAGCGUUAUCCGGAUUUAUUUGGUUUAAAGGGAGCGUAGAUGGGUUGGUAAGUAAGUUGUGAAAUUUUGCGGCUCAACCUUAAAAUUGCAAUUGAUACUGGCAGGCGUGAGUACAGUUGAGGUAGGCGGAAUUCGUGGUGUAGCGGUGAAAUGCUUAGAUAUCACGAAGAACUCCGAUUGCGAAGGCAGCUUACUAAACUGCCACUGACAUUGAGGCUCGAAAGUGUGGGUAUCAAACAGGAUUAGAUACCCGUGUAGUC